rnacentral:rRNA from 1 species
GCAGGCGAGAAUACUGUGCAAUGCGCGAAAGCGCGACACGGGAAGCCUGAGUGCCUUAACUAUGUUAAGGCUUUUCUUGAUCCUAAAAAGCUCAAGGAAUAAGAGCUGGGUAAGACGGGUGCCAGCCGCCGCGGUAACACCCGCGGCUCGAGUGGUAGUCACUUUUAUUGAGCCUAAAGCGUUUGUAGCCGGAUUUGUAAAUCUCUAGGAAAAUACUUCUGCUCAACUGAAGAAAUUUUGGAGAGACUGCAAAUCUAGGGACCGGGUGAGGUUGAAUGUACUUCUGGGGUAGGGGUAAAAUCCUGUAAUCCUGGAAGGACGACCGGUGGCGAAGGCGUUCAACUAGAACGGAUCCGACGGUGAGGAACGAAGGCUAGGGGAGCAAACCGGAUUAGAUACCCCCGUAGUCC